GAUGAACGCUGGCGGCGUGCUUAACACAUGCAAGUCGAACGAUGAAGCCCAGCUUGCUGGGUGGAUUAGUGGCGAACGGGUGAGUAACACGUGAGUAACCUGCCCUUAACUCUGGGAUAAGCCUGGGAAACUGGGUCUAAUACCGGAUAGGAGCGUCCACAGCACGGUGGGUGUUGGAAAGAUUUAUCGGUUUUGGAUGGACUCGCGGCCUAUCAGCUUGUUGGUGAGGUAAUGGCUCACCAAGGCGACGACGGGUAGCCGGCCUGAGAGGGUGACCGGCCACACUGGGACUGGGACACGGCGCAGACUCCUACGGGAGGCAGCAGUGGGGAAUAUUGCACAAUGGGCGCAAGCCUGAUGCAGCGACGCCGCGUGAGGGAUGACGGCCUUCGGGUUGUAAACCUCUUUCAGUAGGGAAGAAGCGAAAGUGACGGUACCUGCAGAAGAAGCACCGGCUAACUACGUG
rnacentral:rRNA from 1 species